GGGUGACCGCUUGGCUUGGCCAAACGGUUGGAAUUUAAAAUUCAAAUUUUCAAAUGGCCCGCUAUGACAUGGCGGGUCAGCUAUGACAUGGUUGGGUUAGCGAAUAGGAGGCCGCCAGCUAGGAUGUCAAGAUCUCCCCACGCCCGGCUUGAAACCCAAGCCCCAAGGGCCACGCCCCAACCCAAGCCCACCCAGGGUGGUGGCUUGGACGUUUUCCCCCAACCCAAACCCCAUACUCCAUAGUCUAAGACCAAGUCUGCAAUUUUGCAAUUUUUGCAAACCACAUAGAGCAACCAAGCAUUUUAACUCCGUCUCUUUUUUUCGUCGACAUCGUGGGUGGUUAUCGAAGCUUAAUGACGGUAUUAAUGGUUUGCUUCACGCCUUCACACAACUGCUGCCGGUAAGCCCUUCCCCUCUACUCGUUGUCGCUGUUGUUUGAGUCGGACACCGGCGCCGCCUCCGUUCUACACUCUGUCGUCGCUUAACACACCCUGGCGCCACAACAUUUCUGAAAUCGAUCACAAGGAGAACAAUCUAAUCUACACCUAUGUGGGUACAAGAAGCCAAAGAAAGUGCAUGAUUCCGAUUUAGAUUUACCUGGUGAUGCUCGCUCUUGGCUUAACUCCGUUGAAUGUUUGUCGGUAUCAACGACCUUUAACUUUGCAUCCUUUUUUCUUUUGUUUCAUUACAUCUUCAAUAUAGUCAAAGUAACAUUACAAGUUUGUCGGUAUCAACGACCUUUAACUUUGCAUCUUUUUUUUCUUUUGUUUCAUUACAUCUUCAAUAUAGUCGAAGUAAUAUUACAAAUGCUUUU